rnacentral:lncRNA from 1 species
UCCUCAGCACAAGUGUCUACUGCUAUUGGAUGGACAGCGGCAGAUGUUCACAGCGCGUCAUGAUUAAUUAGUUUAAGUUGAAAGACUGUGUCUGUGAGGUAGCUCAGGUAGAAUAAAUCUAGGGCAGUAGAUAGGAACUGAAGUCACGUUUGCGCAGCGUCUCAGGCAUUAACCAUGUUUUCAUUUACGCAGCUCUUCCUUCGUACAUGCAGCUUUUUACUGUACUAGUUGGAAGUGCUAGUUAUGUUGGAGUCUCAAAGUGGCGGGUAGGGGAAAUUGGCUGAAUUUAAAGUUUGAGAAAUAUAUUUUGGUGGUUUUUUUGUUUUGUUUUUUUGUUUUGUUUUUGUUUUUGUACUUUUUGCUUUGUUGUCAUUUGUUUUUUUCUAUAGUGUAAAUCACUGAAUGGAAUGGGCAAGCUCUUGUUGUAGUUUAAAUUUUGACCCAUUUCAUGUUUAUUUUACAAAUACUACAUUUUAUGGGGUUUGUGUUCCCUUUUUCUUUCUUUUUUUUUUUUUUUUGUGUGUGUAUGUGAGUGUGUGUGUUCUUUUUUUUUUUGUUUAUUUUUUGUUUUAUUUUUACUUUGUUUUUUAAUAAAUAACCCUACCCCUAAAACAUAACAAACUUAGAUGUGAUCUUUUUAAUGGGCCGAAUUGUCAACAAAAAUUUGGUUUGCUUUGGGACUGUCUGACUAGCACACUGUAUCUUGUACUGAUAAGACUGUUAACUUAAACAGGAGGUAGAAGGCUGUCUUCCAAUGGAAAAGAACUAUGUUGCGCUGCUAUAUCUUGUCAGAAAACUAGGCAGGUCAUUUCUAUUUGGUUUCCAAACAUUAGCUAUGAGUUAUCUCUUGGUUGUUGGCUUUAUUGCCUGUGAGGUUGGCUGCCUCGGAGCCUGCCGAUUGCUGCCUGCAUCCAUCACCUGCAGUGCGCUAGCAGAUGCCUAAAAGAACCACACAUUGUCGUACUUUUAAGAGAAGUGCUCUUAGCUUUGGACAAAUUAAGAAGUUUAGUUGGUUCUCCCCUAGUUCUCAGAUCUUAGUAGGUGGGUGUUUUAACUGACUGUCUGGGUUUAGAUGGCCCUCGCUCACCAAAACCAAAACCAAAACCUUCAUUAUUUCAUUUUUGUCAAUAGUAUCUGCCAACCUUAAGUUUUCUGACAAGAUUGACCCCCUCCUUCCCUGUUCUGUACCCUCCUCAAAAUGUAAAAUGUGACUUCAGACAGGUUUAAGUCAGUUCCUUCAUGGGCUGUGAUAAUAAAAUGUCUCUUUGCUUCAGUUUACAAUUAGAAAAUUUCAUGAUACGUAAGCAGUUGUUUUGACUUACUGCUGUGUGUAAGGAAUAUAGAAACUUCUGUGGAUAACCUAACUAUUCCUUCCAAUAAUGAAAGUGUAGAACUAAUUGGUGGUAGUGGUUUCCAUUAACAGAAGGAAGGAGUAGAAGUAUUGAAAUGCCAUUAUAAAUUUUGAAAUAAUUAUUAUCACAGCCUUGCCUUGAAACCCUGGUUUAGAACUUUUAGAGAGCUAUUUCCAGUAUGUGUUAGUUUGUUGGACAUUUGAGACCCCAGGAAAUCCCCUUUCUCGUAACGUUCUCCGCUUGGAUCUGAUCUCAACAGGGUGUCGUAGUCACUCUUCAGCACAGUUCUUAAUUGGAGACCAGGAGCCCUGGGCCUUUAGAGGUGGUCUAGCAGGAGAGUUCCAGGUAUCAAUAUGAAUUCACAACUGAAUUGACAUUUUUCUUUGUUUUAUGAGAAACCUUAUGUUGCGCAUCUGAUGGCUGGAAGGAUUGGUCUGCCGAAGGCUUUCUAGUCCCAAAUUCAAUUUAGUUACAUAGCUGGAUUUUAAAUCAAAUUUUCCUCCUCUUUCACAGUAAUUUCUGAAGGAGAUGCUGUCAAUCCCCCGCGCCUGCGAAGCGCAGCGGCUCUAGGUCUACACUUCACAUUGUUUCUUUGCAGGUCGCACAGCAUUUAAAUCUGCGCCCGCAAUGCACAAUGCGCGCAUGCUUGUCCGCCGUAGGAAACUCCAUGAGC